UAAUAUGGAAGCCCAACCACAACCAUUUUCAUUUAACCCAACGUCUUUUUAAUUCUCUCUGCUCAUUUGCUAUUAGUUUAGGGCAACAAAAAAAACUCACUAAUUCUCAUUUUCUCUCUCCUAUGUAUUUCCCUCUCCUUUCUUCCAUUGAUAAUCAAGCAUGGUGGACGGCAUGGAACAUCUCAUAGGUCACCUUUCCCGUGUUCGAAUCCCCAAACCAACCAAUUGCAUCUUCAAAAGAAGAUUGUUGCGUUUCUUUUUGAUGCUCCGGUGAGUUUCUUUUGCAUUUUUGCUGAUUUUUGUUGUUCUCUUUUUUUGUUUCUUAUCGUGAAUUUGAGCAAAUGUGUUGAAUGAUGAUGCUGUUUUUUUUUCUUAUCUCUGUUUCUUGAGCUAUUGAAUAUCGAGUUUCAGUUACUUCCUAAUGACGCAAUUUUAGUAACAUUUGUUUGUUAAUUUCAGUUUUUUUAGAUGAACAUUUGAUUUGCGAGUUGAAUUCUUUAUGGAAUUGUUAAUUUGCGAGUUGAAUUCUUUCAUUCGUGGAGAUUUUAUGGAAUUGUGAUCAUUUAAGUAGUUGAAAUAUGUGUGAUUUUGAUCCUGCAUUUUGUCCAUAAUGUUGUAUUUGUAAUGAUGAUUUGUUUAAUUUUUGAGAAUCUUUUGGAGUGGUUUUGUUGAUUCUUAUACUCUGGACACUUGAAUUAAAUAUCUUGGAUUAAAUUUUGUGGAGUGGUUUUGUGGAGUAGUGAUUAUUUGCUGAUUUCGAAUCAUCAUCAACUUGCUUGUAAUUUUCCAUCUCUGAUUUUUAGUCGUUUGUUGAUGAGAGAUAUGAGAAGGUGAAACUUGAUUACUUGCAAUCAAUAGUCCUAAGUCACCACCACGACAGUAUCACCAACGUAAUGACACUCAUUCACCAGGGCGUGACAAACAACGUCAAAAGUUUUAUGAUUCUCCAUCACCUGAGCAUGAAACGAAGUUAAAGAAUACUAGAUUGUUGUAUCGUUUGAAUGAUUAUAGUGGUCACAUGAUGAUUUAUGUUGGUGACACAAUGGUUAUUGUUGGUCACUUAUUAUUUUUUUACAUUUAGGAAUUCACACAUGUAAUUGGAGUGACAUUUGUUCGUGAUUAUGUUAAUAAAUACAUUUGAUUCUUUCCAUUUCA